GGUGAGCAGCCCAGAGAAGGCUUCCUUGUUCUCACAAACCUUGUGGAGGAUGCUAUUGGGGGUACAAAUGGCUAUGUUGAUUGGAUGCUUCAAAUACAUCGACAAGUCCAACAAAAUGCGUAAUUUACAGGAUUUUAUCAUUGGCUUUUGUGGGGGCCCAUUUGUAGAGUGAUGAAUAUCUCAAAAUAAUCUGAACUGUUCAUGUGUUUCCUUCAAAAUUGUGGGUGGUUGGGUGGACGAUUAGGUUCUGAAACAACAAUUUGUUUAGCGCAUCACAGGAUUUAAUAAUUAGAGUAAGAUGUACUUUAGCAAUUAGUAUGGUGUCCCAGUUUUUACCUGGGAAAGCAAACCAGAUCAAAUUUUUGUAUCUGAUAGCUCAAU
rnacentral:misc_RNA from 1 species